GAUGAACGCUGGCGGCGUGCCUAAUACAUGCAAGUCGAGCGAACAGACGAGGAGCUUGCUCCUCUGACGUUAGCGGCGGACGGGUGAGUAACACGUGGAUCACCUACCUAUAAGACUGGGAUAACUUCGGGAAACCGGCGCUAAUACCGGAUAAUAUAUUGAACCGCAGGGUUCAAUAGUGAAAGACGGUUUUGCUGUCACUUAUAGAUGGUUCCGCGCCGCAUUAGCUAGUUGGUAAGGUAACGGCUUACCAAGGGAACGAUGCGUAGCCGACCUGAGAGGGUGAUCGCCCACACUGGAACUGAGACACGCUCCAUACGCCUACGGGAGGCAGCAGUAGGGAAUCUUCCGCAAUGGGCGAAAGCCUGACGGAGCAACGCCGCGUGAGUGAUGAAGGUCUUCGGAUCGUAAAACUCUGUUAUUAGGUAAGAACAAAUGUGUAAGUAACUAUGCACGUCUUGACGGUACCUAAUCAGAAAGCCACGGCUAACUACGUG
rnacentral:rRNA from 1 species